rnacentral:rRNA from 1 species
CAGCAGCCGCGGGAAAACGAAGGGGGCUAGCGUUGCUCGGAAUGACUGGGCAUAAAGGGCGCGUAGGCGGCGAUCAAAGUCAGGCGUGAAAUUCCUGGGCUCAACCUGGGGGCUGCGUUUGAUACUUGGUUGCUAGAGUGAGGAAGAGGGUCGUGGAAUUCCCAGUGUAGAGGUGAAAUUCGGAGAUAUUGGGAAGAACACCGGUGGCGAAGGCGGCGACCUGGUCCAUUACUGACGCUGAGGCGCGAAAGCGUGGGGAGCAAACAGGAUUAGAUACCCCGGUAGUCCCUGUCUCUUAUAC